ACACAAUAAACACGAGGACUAAAACAAUAGAAGCAGCAGACUUUACAAAUCACAACAGCUCACAACAGGUGAGCACAUAUCUUUAAUAACUGAACAUGUUCUGCGGCCGCUUGGUUCCCAACAGAAUACAAAAAAUCAAGAUUCAGUUUAAAGUAAUUUACAACAUGCAACAUUAUCCCAUAGACAUCUUGGUUAUUAUGAAUAAAAUAUAAAAUCUGCUUUAAAUCAGGUCGCAAAUCAGGAUUAUGACAAAAAUGAUGAUAUAAGAGCCCUUAAGACUUAAACUGAUGAAGUCUGAAAAUAUAUAAAGAUUGACCAUCAAUAGGUAUUUUAUGUACAUUUCGAAUAAUAAAUGUGCUUAUCUAACUAUGGGAGAUCUUAAAAGCCUUUUCAUGGUUUAUCAUGCUAUACAGAGAGAGAGAGAGAGAGAGAGAGAGAGAGAGAGAGAGAGAGAGAGAGAGAGAGA